rnacentral:lncRNA from 1 species
GGCAAUGCUUCCCUGUCUCCUUCUGUACUGUGGAAGCUUUGCUCUUUUACUCUGCAAUAAAUCUUGCUGCUGCUAACUGUUUGGGUCCACGCUACCUCUAUAAGCUGUAACACUCACCAUAAAGGUCUUACAGCUUCAUUCCUGAAGCCAGUGAGACCACGAACCCAGCAGGAGGAACGAACAACUCCAGACGCGCUGCCUUAAGAGCUGUUAACACUCACCGCAAGGUCUGCAGCUUCACUCCUGAAGCCAGAGAGACCACGAACCCAGCAGGAGGAAUGAACAACUCCAGAUGCGCCGCCUUAAGAGCUGUAACGCUCACCGCGAAGGUCUGCAGCCUCACUCCUGAGCCAGCGAGACCACGAACCCACCAGAAGGAAGAAACUCCGAACACAUCCGAACCUCGGAAGGAAGAAACUCCAAACACAUCCAAACAUCAGAAGGAACAAACUCUGCACACACCGCCUUUAAGAACUGUAACACUCACCACCAGGGUUCGCGGCUUCAUUCUUGAAGUCAGUGAGACCAAGAAGCCACCAAUUCCGGACACAAUAUGAAAUGUGAAAUGUAAGAUCAUCUGAAGGAGAGCUUUGGUUCAAGUCAAAUGCAUGCCUCAACCUAGCAGAGCCAAAGAGAUACUUGUAUGAUCAUCAUAUCGGAUUUGAGAAAACUCACGAAGACCAAAAGAACCUCCAACAAUCAGCAACUAAAACAAAGAAAGGAAACAUUUAAGCAAAACAGAAGACCAGAAUUCAAAUUCAGCCUAUCUA